rnacentral:pre_miRNA from 1 species
AUGCGUCUGUGUGUGGAUGGUGUUCAGCACCAAGGACAGGUGUGUUUGUGUGUGGAUGACAUUAAGCACCUGGGACAGGUGUGUUUGUGU